AACUUUUAACAAUGGAUCACUUGGUUCUGGCAUCGAUGAAGAACGCAGCGAAAUGCGAUAAGUAAUGUGAAUUGCAGAUUUCAGUGAAUCAUCGAAUCUUUGAACGCACAUUGCGCCCGCCAGUAUUCUGGCGGGCAUGCCUGUUCGAGCGUCAUUUCAACCCUCGAGCCCCUACGGGGGCUUGGUGUUGGGGAGCGGCCCCGCCCCUCUGCGGGCUGCCGUCCUCGAAAUACAGUGGCGGUCUCGCCGCAGCCUCCUCUGCGUAGUAGCUUGAAACCUCGCACCGGAGUGCGGCGUGGCCACGCCGUUAAGCCUUAGCUUCCUCAAAGGUUGACCUCGGAUCAGGUAGGGAUACCCGCUGAACUUAAGCAUAUCAAUAAGCGGAGGCU
rnacentral:misc_RNA from 1 species